rnacentral:rRNA from 1 species
CCUACGGGAGGCAGCAGUGGGGAAUAUUGGACAAUGGGCGAAAGCCUGAUCCAGCAAUGCCGCGUGAGUGAUGAAGGCCUUAGGGUUGUAAAGCUCUUUUACCAGGGAUGAUAAUGACAGUACCUGGAGAAUAAGCUCCGGCUAACUCCGUGCCAGCAGCCGCGGUAAUACGGAGGGAGCUAGCGUUGUUCGGAAUUACUGGGCGUAAAGCGUACGUAGGCGGUUAUUCAAGUCAGAGGUGAAAGCCCGGGGCUCAACCCCGGAACUGCCUUUGAAACUAGGUAGCUAGAGUCUUGGAGAGGUUAGUGGAAUUCCGAGUGUAGAGGUGAAAUUCGUAGAUAUUCGGAAGAACACCAGUGGCGAAGGCGACUAACUGGACAAGUACUGACGCUGAGGUACGAAAGCGUGGGGAGCAAACAGGAUUAGAUACCCUGGUAGUCCACGCCGUAAACGAUGAUAACUAGCUGUUCGGGCACUUGGUGCCUGAGUGGCGCGAGCUACGCAUUAAGUUAUCCGUCCGUCGGGUAGGUACGGUCGCGAAGAAGUUAAAACGUUAAAAGGUAAAGUUAGUACGGACGUGAGACGUGCCGAACGGACGACGACGAGGGAGGUAGG